rnacentral:rRNA from 1 species
GAUGAACGCUGGCGGCGUGCCUAAUACAUGCAAGUCGAGCGAACAGACGAGGAGCUUGCUCCUCUGACGUUAGCGGCGGACGGGUGAGUAACACGUGGAUAACCUACCUAUAAGACUGGGAUAACUUCGGGAAACCGGAGCUAAUACCGGAUAAUAUAUUGAACCGCAUGGUUCAAUAGUGAAAGACGGUUUUGCUGUCACUUGUAGAUGGAUCCGCGCCGCAUUAGCUAGUUGGUAAGGUAACGGCUUACCAAGGCAACGAUGCGUAGCCGACCUGAGAGGGUGAUCGGCCACACUGGAACUGAGACACGGUCCAGACUCCUACGGGAGGCAGCAGUAGGGAAUCUUCCGCAAUGGGCGAAAGCCUGACGGGGCAACGCCGCGUGAGUGAUGAAGGUCUUCGGAUCGUAAAACUCUGUUAUUAGGGAAGAACAAAUGUGUAAGUAACUAUGCACGUCUUGACGGUACCUAAUCAGAAAGCCACGGCUAACUACGUG